CCAGCUGUCAAGAUCUAGUGUAGUAUCUGUUCUUAUCAGUUUAAUAUCUGAUACAUCCUCUAUACGAGGACCAGAUAAUGGGGGCAGUUAUGGGCUGGAGGUUAGGGAACCAGCCUUGUGACUGGAAGGCUGCUGGUUCGAUCCCCU
rnacentral:snRNA from 1 species